GCUUGGAACUCCAUAGGAGGUUGCUGGUGGACCGUACUGGCUCGGGGGCGGGCUUAACGGGGCUCUACGAUUUAUAAAUUGUAACUGAAUCUCGACGUUAGGACUUCGAGAACCCUGAAACUCCAGGGCUCCGGAACAUCAGAACUCUAGGCUUAGAGCUAGCUUAUUUAAACAGGGCGGAGACGAAAAAGAGCCAGCCCAAUAGUAUCUGGAAAAAGAAGUUUAAUUAUCAUUAUUGGGGUUUUAAAUGAAGCAGUCUGGAAAGGAAAACGCGUGGAAUAAUAGGAAGACGGUUGGCGCUGCAAUCGGCAACCGCGAGCCGGUUCGAAUUUGAAUAUGGAGGUCGGCCGCUGUCGACCGAUUUCAACGAUCAUUAAGUAGGUCGAACGCUGUCGGAAGAAAGCGUCGCCGAUCGUCCCAGGUACAAAUGCAGACAAGGCAAUCAUGGCACGUUGGUCAUGUAGGUGACGCCUGUCGUGGCUCGGUAGUUACGCCAAGUAACACGUUACUACCUAGAAAUUCCGUGGAUACCGAUACCGAUCUCUUGUACUCCGACUGAAACAGCGCUUCAGACACGAGCAUUAUACCGAUAAUUAAAACCCGAUUUCCAUCUGUAUUCCUCGCGGCCUUCGAGGGCUAGCUAGACUCUUCUCCGAGUUAUCGCUCGAUAAAUUAAUAUUUUGAUGUGGGUGAGUCGAUAGCGAGCCAUGGUCGAUCCGAGUCUUGGAGUAUGUUGAACCUAGUGGCACGAUUCCGUGGGAGAGGUCUGUUAAUAAUUGUUGGAUAAUUAAUCGUAACGUUUCCGGGUCCUCGUAAGAUAACGUAACACAUUUUUGUAUCGCGUACAAAGCCAUUUUUACAAAUGCUUGUAAAUAGUUCUGAAAUGUGUCACGACCCAGGCGAAUUCGCAACUCCAUCUGUGUUUUAUAAGAGAAUCAAAAUAUCAUCGAAUUUGAGAGACCCUUUGUAAAAGUUGAGGGUAAAUUACCUCCACAAAUUGAUAAUAAAUUAACGACAAGUUAAUUAUAAUUCUUGUAACCAAGUUACAAGAACGCAGGUUCCUUGCACGUUACGAUUUAAUCUCCAACGAUUACCGAGCCCCAGUUACGAAAAAUUGAGCCAUAAAGUAAAAAUUGAGCCAUAAGUUGCUUUCAUAUUGUACAUUUCAUAUCGCUGUAAAAUGCCCAACGCUUUCUGGGGUAUCCAAAUAUUUGCGUCGUUCCCGAGCCGAGUUCCACGUGAAAUCGAAAUUUCCACGCGAACCACCGAGGCAUUCCAUCGAGGCAGUAAUAUGGAAAUGCGAGAGACAAAAGGGGACAGGUCGCGAGGAGCGUCGUUGCCAUAAGCGGGAGGCUACUUUUACCAGGUGGCAUCUCUCCCGAGCCACCAGCUCCGUAUAACGCGCGAUUCUGUCGGUUUACGAGCCAGUCUCUCAAAAAUGAAAGUGUCCGCGUGCGAACCGCCGAACGGGCAUAAACAACUUCGUGAAUUGGGUCGAGGGGGCCCCUUUUCUUUUACGGCCCCCAAGGGGAGAUGAUCGUGAAACUCCAAGCGUUCGUUAACGCUGGACCACAGCGAAAGUGGGCCUCUCAAUUUCGUUCCUCGAUCUUCCUUAAUUUUCUUUUCUUUUCUUUUCUUUUCUUUUUUUUUUGUUUCACUUUCUGACGCACGAAGAAGGAAAGUGUUAUAAUCGUAAACAAAUUUUGUUUCGUGGAAGAAACCAGUGUCGGGCCUUCCCUCGUGUUAUUUAAUUUAAUCGGGUCUCGAUUGUUCAAAACGAUAUUUCAGUUUAGGAUCUACGAAAAAUUCAGAAAUAAUUUUUAUUUUAUUUUCGUUAAUUUCUUUUUUAUUCGGCUUUUAGGACACGCGAUCAACGCGGAUCGCACUUUCCCGUUACGUCGAUCGUUACGGAUCGCCAGUGUCAAGAUCAAGAACCGAACGGACAAGUUUAAUAACGUGUGCUUAUCUGGUCGUCGUUAUACUCUCGUCAUGCUCUAUCAUCGACGAUCAGGCAUGCUCGAGCACGUGGUCGUCGAUCGAGAUCCACGAAAGCACCGAAAGAUCGAUCGAUAGAAAGCGGCACCGCGGGACAUCAAUUUGACGAUGGAAAGAGAAAAGUGUAGCAUGAUUCGUAACUCGCUACCAUCUUUGUUAUUCCCGGUACGCCAAUAUACGCGAGACGAUUCAUAAAUUUUGUAGACAUUUUUAUUUUAAUAUUCUCGACAUUCAG